UUAACUAUUAUAUAGUACUCAGACGACACUAAUUUCAGAGUUUGGGGUCCUCUGGCGGGCGCUUACCAGCCGGAGCCGGUAGCCUGACCGAGGCCGGGCGGCCCGCCAAAGCAACAGAGAUAAUGAUAACAUAGGGUGGGAAUUCUACCCGGUACGGGGAACUCGUUAAUGAUCCCUCCGCAGGUUCACCUACGGAGA
rnacentral:misc_RNA from 1 species